UUCCGUGUGGCUCAGUUGGUAAAGAAUCUGUCUGCAAUGCAGGAGACUCAGGUUCAAUCCCUGGGUUGGAAA
rnacentral:tRNA from 1 species